GCUGCUGACAUAAUACAAUCACAUUGUUGCUAAAGUCUCAAUGUAAAAUAAAUAGUAAGUAAAUAAAAGGCUGAAUUGCAACAUCAGAAAUCAUAGAUAAAGUAUUGACAGAAUGGGAGAGAGGACAGAAACAGAAAAUAAAAUGUAAAAAUUCAGUUUUCAAUGAUAGGUUGGGAUACUAUUUUUCAUGCAGGCAUAUUUAGUGAAAGAAGCAUGUAUCACAAGACCUAACAAUUCAGAUAAGAAAGGAAGGGGUCAGUGAGUUCUAAGAGGAAGUUUGUAGAACCUGUAACUUGCAAUUGUGCUAUGGGUGAGUUCCAGCUGUCAGUCUAUCUGUAUUUCAAAAGGGAACUUGGACAUUGUAUUUAAUUACUUUCAAUGCUUGCUUCAACUAGUAAACAGCCAGGAGUCUAUUUUCAUUUCCUUUGGCAAGAGGGCUGGGUAGCCACACAACAUAUCCUCUAGCAAUGAAAAAUGAAAGCCACAAAUGUAGCAAUCAGCUGUCAGAAGAAAAUCAAGGAGGGAUUGCCAUUCUGGUCAUUUCAUGGUCGUCUGUCCUCUUGCUUUAAUUCCGUUAAUUUGACGUUAUUUGGAGAGAAAAAGCAUCUAUUAUGGAUUAUCCAAGAAGGAAAAUCAACCCAACUCUUCUUGCAAGCACUCAGAAUGAACUCCCAGCCGGGUGCCAAGCAUCUCCAAGGAAAUGAAUGACUCAGGAACACCUGCUCCUGAGAGCAGAGGCCAGAGAGAUGUCCUCCAAGUCACAGGAAUGCAGAAUGCAGGGAAGCUGGAUUGUACAUCUGCUCCUGUGGUUUCCACUGACUGGAGACCCUAACAAAGUCAGAAAACUUCUAAAUUUCAUUUAAUCACCAAUGAAAUUAAAUAUUUGCAUUACGUGA